GGGGAAUCUUCCGCAAUGGACGAAAGUCUGACGGAGCAACGCCGCGUGAGUGAUGACGGCCUUCGGGUUGUAAAGCUCUGUUAAUCGGGACGAAUGGUUCUUGUGCGAAUAGUGCGAGGAUUUGACGGUACCGGAAUAGAAAGCCACGGCUAACUACGUGCCAGCAGCCGCGGUAAUACGUAGGUGGCAAGCGUUGUCCGGAAUUAUUGGGCGUAAAGCGCGCGCAGGCGGAUUGGUCAGUCUGUCUUAAAAGUUCGGGGCUUAACCCCGUGAUGGGAUGGAAACUGCCAAUCUAGAGUAUCGGAGAGGAAAGUGGAAUUCCUAGUGUAGCGGUGAGAUGCGUAGAUAUUAGGAAGAACACCAGUGGCGAAGGCGACUUUCUGGACGAAAACUGACGCUGAGGCGCGAAAGCCAGGGGAGCGAACGGGAUUAGAUACCCCGGUAGUCCUGGCCGUAAACGAUGGGUACUAGGUGUAGGAGGUAUCGACCCCUUCUGUGCCGGAGUUAACGCAAUAAGUACCCCGCCUGGGGAGUACGACCGCAAGGUUG
rnacentral:rRNA from 1 species